GAUGAACGCUGGCGGCGUGCCUAAUACAUGCCAGUCGAGCGAACGGACGAGAAGCUUGCUUCUCUGAUGUUAGCGGCGGACGGGUGAGUAACACGUGGAUAACCUACCUAUAAGACUGGGAUAACUUCGGGAAACCGUGGCUAAUACCGGAUAAUAUUUUGAACCGCAUGGUUCAAAAGUGAAAGACGGUCUUGCUGUCACUUAUAGAUGGAUCCGCGCUGCAUUAGCUAGUUGGUAAGGUAACGGCUUACCAAGGCAACGAUGCAUAGCCGACCUGAGAGGGUGAUCGGCCACACUGGAACUGAGACACGGUCCAGACUCCUACGGGAGGCAGCAGUAGGGAAUCUUCCGCAAUGGGCGAAAGCCUGACGGAGCAACGCCGCGUGAGUGAUGAAGGUCUUCGGAUCGUAAAACUCUGUUAUUAGGGAAGAACAUAUGUGUAAGUAACUGUGCACAUCUUGACGGUACCUAAUCAGAAAGCCACGGCUAACUACGUG
rnacentral:rRNA from 1 species